rnacentral:tRNA from 1 species
AAGAAUUUAGUUUAAAAAAAACAUUUAAUCGUCAAUUUAAAAAUACCAUAAAGUAAUUCUUU